rnacentral:pre_miRNA from 1 species
GGGCAAUUUCGUCAACCCAAAAUCCUUGAAUAUAAAAGCUCGUUUGAAACUCCCCUAAUUUCAUAUUAGGGCUUGAAAUUGGUCACUUGGGUUUAAAGUUCUUAAAAAAUUGGGAUUAGUGGUUGAAUUUCAAGCCCUAAUAUGAAACGGGGAGAAUUUCAGACAAACUUUUAGGCUCAAGGAUUUUAGGUUGACAAAAUUGCCC